AGCUAAGUUCGGUGUACAUUGCAGUGCAGAAGAAUUACGUGGAGAUUGUUCGAGAUCUUCAGUACUUCCUACUAGACUUGGAGUGAUAAACGUAGAAGUUACAGUUCCAGUAAAGCAAAGUAAAGUCUUGACCAGAAGAUUUUCCAGCAACGUGAAGAGUACGCCUGUUCCAGUACUUAUCUACUCUAUUUGCGAUAGUGUAGAAACAGUUGAUAAUUCUGCAGAGUUCUUCACUCCAGCUAGAGAGAGAUCAGCCGCUAGAAGAUCAUCGAGUCCGAUUGUUAGUGAAGGAACGAUAGGUGCUAACAGUUUUAGGUCACAUGAUGCUGAGGAGCACGACAUUGACACAACAGGAUCGCUUUCUCCUAUAGAUCUAGGGAGACAGAGCCCUCCGAGGGAGGAGCGCAGAUAUAACACUAGGAGACCUGAGGAACGGAGAGAACCUGAUCGUCUAGGAAUCGAUAAAGUUAGACUUGUUACGGAUGUUCUUAUGAAGCUCUUGAACCAGUAGAAGUCGGGGAGAUGCCCUGUUAGGGAAGUAACUAAUACCUUGGAAUCUAGUUUUAGUACAGUAAUAUCUUACGCACUUAGCUAGGCUUUCCAUUUAGUACUUAGCGGUGAUAUUAGUACCUUACUUAGGCUUAACACGUGUAUCUUUCAGAACAGUACUGAUAGGGAUAUUAGGAUUGUGCCUCGCAACACGAACCGUUCAGGGCUGCCAUUUUGAUAUUUCGAUAAUUUCUUUUAGUUUUAGUUAUUUCAACUCUUUUCACGUUGACCCUUUUACUAGUAAGCAGUUUGGUUUUCUGCUUUUGGGUAAAAGUUUUUCUUAGCUUUAUUUUAGUCAUUUUUUAGCCACUAAUCCUAGUUUCCCCCUCCAGACCAUGAGCAGCCCCGAGUUUGAAGGUUUGGAUUUCUCUGACGAUCAGAAGAUAAGGAUGAAGAAGAUAGAGGAGGAGAAAGCGAGACUCAGGCGGAAAUUGGAUCGCAUUGCAAGGAGGAUCGAGAAGAUUCAGCGACGCAGGGAGAGGAGCUCCAGCAGCAAACCCGUCCCACUAGUGAUGCCGGACUGGGAGAGUUUAGAUCUAGCCACCUUCCCCAUUACGAAGGGAGCCAUCAACAUCCUCCUACAAUAUCCUAAUCUAGAUGAGUGGGUGAAGCAGCGAGUGGAUGAGGCUGCUGAAAACUUUUUGAAAACUAAGGAUGCAGAGGAGUUGUUGGAGCAGAUGAGGAGAGUGCGAGACAGGGUGAUGUCCAGCAUCACAGAAGUAUGCAGGAGACGAAGAAAGGUUUUCAGAAACUCGAGGGAGUACCAAUUGGUGAAAAUCAACAACAGGAGGGCAGUUGCAGUGCAAUUCAACACAGCGACUCGCGUGAUGGGCGAGAUUCGCGAGAAUUCGUCCAACACGCGACUUCAACGGGCACUGGACAGCCUGGUGAGCCUCAGAAACAUGGAGAGGACUUUCUGAGGAUUCCUUCUUUCUGUUUUGAUAUUUUAUUGUAUUUAUUUAUUGUG